rnacentral:rRNA from 1 species
GACGAACGCUGGCGGCGUGCUUAACACAUGCAUUUCGAACGGAAAGGCCCUGCUUUUGUGGGGUGCUCGAGUGGCGAACGGGUGAGUAACACGUGAGUAACCUGCCCUUGACUUUGGGAUAACUUCAGGAAACUGGGGCUAAUACCGGAUAGGAGCUCCUGCUGCAUGGUGGGGGUUGGAAAGUUUCGGCGGUUGGGGAUGGACUCGCGGCUUAUCAGCUUGUUGGUGGGGUAGUGGCUUACCAAGGCUUUGACGGGUAGCCGGCCUGAGAGGGUGACCGGCCACAUUGGGACUGAGAUACGGCCCAGACUCCUACGGGAGGCAGCAGUGGGGAAUAUUGCACAAUGGGCGGAAGCCUGAUGCAGCAACGCCGCGUGCGGGAUGACGGCCUUCGGGUUGUAAACCGCUUUCGCCUGUGACGAAGCGUGAGUGACGGUAAUGGGUAAAGAAGCACCGGCUAACUACGUGCCAGCAGCCGCGGUGAUACGUAGGGUGCGAGCGUUGUCCGGAUUUAUUGGGCGUAAAGGGCUCGUAGGUGGUUGAUCGCGUCGGAAGUGUAAUCUUGGGGCUUAACCCUGAGCGUGCUUUCGAUACGGGUUGACUUGAGGAAGGUAGGGGAGAAUGGAAUUCCUGGUGGAGCGGUGGAAUGCGCAGAUAUCAGGAGGAACACCAGUGGCGAAGGCGGUUCUCUGGGCCUUUCCUGACGCUGAGGAGCGAAAGCGUGGGGAGCGAACAGGCUUAGAUACCCUGGUAGUCCACGCUGUAAACGGUGGGUACUAGGUGUGGGGUCCAUUCCACGGGUUCCGUGCCGUAGCUAACGCUUUAAGUACCCCGCCUGGGGAGUACGGCCGCGAGGCUAAAACUCAAAGGAAUUGACGGGGCCCCGCACAAGCGGCGGAGCAUGCGGAUUAAUUCGAUGCAACGCGUAGAACCUUACCUGGGUUUGACAUGGAUCGGGAGCGCUCAGAGAUGGGUGUGCCUCUUUUGGGGUCGGUUCACAGGUGGUGCAUGGCUGUCGUCAGCUCGUGUCGUGAGAUGUUGGGUUAAGUCCCGCAACGAGCGCAACCCUUGUUCACUGUUGCCAGCACGUUAUGGUGGGGACUCAGUGGAGACCGCCGGGGUCAACUCGGAGGAAGGUGGGGAUGACGUCAAGUCAUCAUGCCCCUUAUGUCCAGGGCUUCACGCAUGCUACAAUGGCUGGUACAGAGAGUGGCGAGCCUGUGAGGGUGAGCGAAUCUCGGAAAGCCGGUCUCAGUUCGGAUUGGGGUCUGCAACUCGACCUCAUGAAGUCGGAGUCGCUAGUAAUCGCAGAUCAGCAACGCUGCGGUGAAUACGUUCCCGGGGCU